GUAAGUAAGUUGAGUUUUCAGGAGGCUACAGGUAUGAAAAAAUGCUUGUUGGGUUGAUAAAAAAUAAAGAAAAGAAAAGGGGGAACCAAAAUUCCCCAAAGUGACAAAACAGUAGACCUCUGUGAUAGGACUGUGCCACAGAACUUACCCUCGGUGAUAAGGCUACGGCAUACAAAGACCAAAAUUUCACGAAGGAAAUUCCAGUAAACCUCCACGAUUUUAAUGUGCCAUACCACUUAUCCUUCGUGAUAAGGACGUGGCAUGGAGGGAGUAAAUUUUUGGAAAAUUUUGAAUAAAAAGUCAAUUUUGACCCGACUUUACUCUACCUAACCCAAAAUCCCUUUUUAAAAUACCUAAAAUCCCCAAAAUUUCCCCACUUUACCUUUUUCCCUAGCGUGCUACUCUUUCUAAAAUUCCCUUAGCCCAAAUAUGUCACGCAUCAAUCCUACACCAAUCUACUCAUAUCUCUUUUCCGCAAUUCUAAACCAGAAACUAUGGCAAGCAGACCUCAAAAAGGAAAAGAUGUUGCUGCGCCUUCUGAACCAUCCAAGAAAAGAGUUCGACCAACCAAUUGGUUACCCAAAGCUCCCUCUAGACAACAUGGACAGACACGUAUGUAUGGCACUAGGUGGAUGGAAGAAGCUAGGAAGAAUUCACCAAGCAUACUGAGGUAAAGUAUGCCCUAGAUGAGUUAAUUAAUUGGGUGAUCUUAUAGAGAGAGUACCCAAGCAUGAUUUGGAGACUGGAGAAGCUAUAUAUGAACUUUAUUUUCAAGCAUCCUACUGAGUGCAACCUAUACCUAAUUAGGGAUUUUUAUGCUAAUUGGACCCCAGAGAUCCUGAUUCCAAAGUGAAGAUUUGCGAGUAGGUGGUGACCUUCACUGUACAUCAUCUGAAUGCCAUUUUAGGCACUCCUGAGGUAGACUCACUUCAAAUGAGGUAGCUAAAUAUCACUCUACCAUAUGAUGAUAUCUGAUAUCUAUUAUAUGGAAAUAUAUCUAUGGCUAGUUGGAUUUGCUGCCAAGAGAGCGACCAUCACAUGACAUUCCCUUAUGCCCAGAUGAAUAGGAAGGAAAGGAUGUAGUUGAAGAUCAUUUUUCACUGCCUCAUUCCAAGAAAACAUAUGAAAUAAGUUACUCAAGAUAGAUUUUGUUUGAUCUAUGCACUAAUGCAGCAAGGGUUUGAAAUAAAUAUGGGUGCAGUGAUUACCUUGAUAGAAAAGAGAGCUCGCUUUCAUUAAGGACAUGAGUAUGGUUUCGGUGGAUUGCAGAUUCAUUUUUUGAUGAGUUAUGAGGUUGAGAAGGAGAACCUGGAUCAUAUAUCGAUAGUAGAUAUGCCUCCAGUAGAUGUGAACAAGAUAUGGGGACUUGACAUUGCUCAUGGUCCAGUGUUGACACUACUCGAGAUUCAUGAUCGUGAUGAUGAGAAUACUGCCUGCAUGUAUGAUUUGUAGAUGCUUCAAUUACUAGUGGGUGGUAGAACAGCUACUAGAAAGGAGAUACGUGUUAUGGAGCUUGACUACCCACUUUAUCACCAUGCCAUGACUCCUUUGAGAAAAGGCCCAGACUUUGUGGAGCUCAUGUAUGAUGAUGUUCCUACUGAUGAGGAGAGGCGACUUUAGAAACAAACAUUGAGUUAGAGAAGGAUGAUACUGUGGACCCAGACUUGGGUGAGGAGGCCUAUGGUCCAUAUGUUGGUGAUGAAAUGGAUGAGUCUUGACCAAGGAGUGUUUACACUACCUCAUAACUUUGUUCUAUUUUGCAAGCAUUGGGGACAGUGCUAUAGUUUAAGAGUGGGGUGGUGGUUCUAAAUUUUUGCAUUUCUCUUUUUGUUAUUUUGACUGUUUGUUACUGUGGGUGUUAUUUUGUUGAAUAUUAUUAUUAGUAAUGAUAUGGGGUUAAUGUAUACAUUA